CCGGCCAUCUGGCGGAUUUCCUCCCGGGGCACCCUGCUGCCUGGCAGGCUGUCCAUCACCGCUGUCAGGUCACUCAGGGACAGGUUCCUAAGGCCGGCACACCUGGACACCUUCCUCUCGCAGAGACUCACCCCUGUUGGAUGGAGACACGGCUUUAGUUAUUUCACAUGUACAUUAAUGCUCACUGGGCUAUUCUACAGUCCUAUAUAAAUAAUAUUUCCAAAUGCUACAAAGAUAAGUAUUAAUUUUAGUAAUUUUAUACUCAAGGACAGAUGUUUUACACAAGGUUCCAAGGUAGUUUCUGCUUUAUAUCGACUUGUUGGCCUUUUAAUGCAUUUUGGGUAAGUACUUCUGAAUGUUUAGUUCUGAUGCUGUUUGACGUGUCUGAAGGCGACGUCAGUUUACUCACUGACUUUAUCGUGGAGGAAUUCAGUAUCUGUGUGGGAGUCGUGCACUUUCUCUGCUUUGCACAAAGUGAUAAAGACCUACUGUGACAGCCAUCACAGAUGAGUGAGGCUCAUCCAGCGCUGGAGACUGGAGUACAGUGUUAACAAUAGAGCUCUGCACAGGUGACUGAUAUUCAUUUGGAUAUUCAUUCUCAGCAAAGACGACGCAGGGAACACAGGAAUGGGAGGAGGAUUAACCAUCAAGGCCCAAUUUUUUAAAACCUGGAAAUCAGAGGACUGCAAGCUAAAAUGACGGAAACCUUCACAUCUAUGCAUAGACGCUGGGGGUCCAGGGGCUCCGAGCAGAGCCGCUGCGAGGCCAAGAAGUGAAAGAUGGCUUCCUGGCAGAGCGUGGUGUCUGGGGGAACAACACAGUGGAACUUGUCUUCCCUUUCACUCUGAAAGGUUUUUAUUUAUUCUGCAAAAGCUAGUUCCUGAGGGAAGCAACAUUUUCUCUGCUCCAAGCACUUUCAUAAAUAUAGCUAUUUCAGCUAAAAUACGCCUGAGUCAUGCCAAAAGAGGACAGGGCCUUUUUAAGUAGCUACCUUACCAUAGAGUUUCACUGCUGAAUGUAUGUCUAGCCUGGUACAAACACCAGCCCUUAAUUCCCAAAGACAGCUCCUUCAUAUCACUCAAGGAUGUAGGGUCAGGUGUCAUCUGUAGUAAAGCCUGUAAUAAGCUAGGCCUCCGCAGACAUUUCCUUUAGUCAGUGAGUGACAGGAAAUCCUGAAGACACCUACCUCCCGAUCGGCUCAAGUCGGCCUAUCGAAAUUCUAGUAAAAGUGUCAAGUUAGUGGAACCAAGA